CCCGUCUGGGUACUUUUCAGCUCUGGUACAGGGCACACCAGUGUAGCAAAUGGUUUCCAGUGCAGACUUCUGCAUGGGGCAGUUCUGGAGCCCCAAAUAAUCCUCUCUGAGUGCCAGAAAUGACUGUGCUGUUUGCCUGGUGAUCUGUCCUGCACAGCACUUGAAUAACUGCUACGGAGCAGCUCUUCCAGAAACAACAUUGCUGUGAGACCAGAUCCAGCUUUGCUUUGGGAAUGCGAGCUGUGCUGGCCUUUCCGUCACACCUCGGGGCGCUGAGUGAAUUCAAGCUGCAGCAACUUGACUUUUGGGAGGAAGAUGUGGGCUCAGCUCCCCGCUCCUCAGGCACCCCGUACCAUCACGGUGUGAUGAGGACACUCAGAACUGCAGGGUCGGAGCUAAAUGUGAAGGCUGUCAAUGGAAUUGCUGAUGAGGACCUGAAGAUGACAUGGUGAAUGAUAGCAGUUUCAUCACUUCCACUGUUUCCAGUAAUGUUUUCCCUGAGAAGCUGUCACAAUAAAGCCGCAGACCUGUUCCGACACGCUCGACUCUUCGAGGAGCAUUAGCCAAGCAUCUUGCAUAAGGUACUUUCAUUCCUGAAGUGUGCACACACGAAGAUGUGUUCCCGAGUUGUCCCUUCCCCAUGCCACUGGCAGGCACCAGUGUCAGGGAUGGGGAGGCAGUCCUCUUCAGCUCCAUCCCCACAGGAGAUGGCCGCAGCUCACAGUCCAGGUGGACCAGCAUUGGCAGAGCUGCAAGCCAAAUUGCUGGAACAAAAUCCUACCGCUUCGGCUGGAAAAUCUGUUCAGCUGGAGCUGGGCUGCAGAAGAGGAUGGCUACCUCAUUUUGCAUAAGACACCAGCGAGUAAUCUGAUGAUUUUCUGUGACUAAUACAAUAGGUCGUAUCUGAAUGGUCGGUGGAGAGAUGAGAGGUUUCAUAUUCUAUUACCAAAUCCCUGAGCCAUCUGGUUCCUAAUGACUUCUUUCAAAACAAAGGGAAUAAAACUUCUGAGUUGUGCAAGGCAUUUUGACAUCCUCUUUUAGGCAGAAGAUGGACGUUGCUUCACAUUGGCAAACAAUAUCAAUCAAAUCAUCAAUUAAAGCUUCUGUGCACCCCUUGCAGGUAUUUCUGACCACAUGUUUGAUGGCAAAUACACCUUGCUCAAGCUGGUAUUGUCCAUCACCGGGAAUCGGGGGGGUGGAAAACAGAGGGCAGUGCCUGUUUCCACAGCGGGUGCUGGUUCCUAGGGGUCAGCACGUGGGCUCGGGGCUGUGCGUGAGCACAACCCAGGCAGGUUUGGAUCACUAAUCCCAAGAGCAGCACCUACAGCAGCGACGGCCACAGGGCUGUCUGCAGCCAGAGUCAGAGCCUGUGGCCACCAAAGCCCACGCCACGCUCACCCAGCUGGUAAAAUUACCCGAGCUGGCUUAUUUAAAUGAUAGCUCAGUUACAUUUAUUAGCUGCGGUCAUAGUGCAACCUGCCCGAGGAAAACCCAGGCCAGAAACUUAUCCACAAAUGCUUUCACUGUUGAGAAGCUCUCAGCCUUGUGGGAUUUGCACGGUGUCUGGCACAGCCCCUGAGCCUCCUCUGGUUGCUUCAGCACCUGCCUGGGCAGCCCUGGGCUGCAGCAAGGCACCUGCAGAGAUGCUCACGGCUUCUGCCCGCGGUCCUGCCCGUCCCUGCAAUUUGAGUUAAAACCACCCAGACACAGAGGGGCAUAAAACUGAUAUAUUUAUUACGCCCUAGUUAUUGCUUAUACAGUUUAGCCAAGCAUAUCAUAACAUAACAUGCUUUGUGCUAUCUGGGAUUACAUAUCCAAUAAGUACGGUAUAUUAUAAGCAUACUUUAGCACUAUUAUGUAUAAUUAUAUAUGUUUAUAGAUUCCCCCAUUACACACCAGCUUAGUUCUUUGUUACAUUUGUGAUAUGCUGCCUGUUGCAUCACGUCACUAAUGAUAUGCUGCCCAUAAUUAAGUACAUUUAUAGAUGUGUGCCAUAUUUAUUGCACCCUAUGGGAUUUGCAUCAUCAAUCAGAGUCAUCCUGUUGUUAGGUCAGCUCGUGUUUGUUUGCUUAAUUUCUCUUGAUUCUUUAAACAUCUGUCCUUUAAGUGGUGAGUUCCUUGCACAGGAUUCAUCCAGUAGUUAGACCUGACUUGUUAACCCAACGGGUGAAAUCCUGGUUCCCUAAAAGCCCUGGUCAAGCACCCAGACGUUUCACAAGGGCUGGGCUUGUACCACGUGUGGCUGCUGCUGCACAUCUUCCUGAUCCAGCUUGUUUAGGAAGAGCUCUGCUUUUUCAUGGGUUCAGGGUGGCUGUGAAUGUGAACUCAGCCCUCGAGUGAAAGGCUGGUUGAGGGUCUGCAACACCUAAAAUUUGGGCUGCCAGAUGUAGCUCCUCCAUAUUGCUUGCUCAAGGGUAAGGACUCUUGGGCCUGCAAAUAGCAUUGAUCUGCUGUGCGCCUUUGGUCCUUCCCCUAAUGCCUAUUGAAUCGUUUCUCUCUCCAUAGUACAUAAUUUAGGUCUGGUUGAGUACAAAGUAUUUUAUUUAUUUAUGUAUUCAAAUUUUUAAAAUGCAUCUCUAGGCAUCUCAGCAGUACGCUGGGCGCCUACCACAUAAAUUAAAAAUAACAGCAUAAAGUUAGACAAGGGGCUACCCAUAAAUAACUCCUCCUCAAUUCACAACCUUAGCGAUAGCCUCAGCUCGGGACAGGGAAAUAGAUGGCCUUUACAGCCCGUGGGGAAGGUUAAUAAAUCUGGGCGCUGACGGACCAAAGGGGAAAAUGAGUUUCAAAUCUGGGGCUCCCCUCUCCAUCCCCUUCCUGGAGAUACCUUGCUGAACUGGGCAGUCAGAAGAUGGCUAUGAGGAUCAGGCAGUUUUAAUAGAUGCCAGAUUAAGCACCAAAAUCACUGUUUUGUGUUCUGAAAAGGUAUGUCUGUGUGUGAGAGCAUUCAGGGGAAAACAUCCUCUUUAGAAG